GAUCUGGCCAUCACCCCUUCCUGGUUUUCCGCCUUUUAUCCUCGAGUCCUCGUGUACGUUCAUGUGAAUGUGAACGUAUUCACGGGGACGUCCUCUUUUUAUUAUUCCUCAUUCUCUUACGAUCGGAAUUUCAUUCAUCGAGUCUUCCAACCAAGGUUACUCCCUCACCCUCAGUUUGAACAUUCAACGAUCGAUAUUCGCUGUGCGAUGUCAUUUAUGUUUAUUUAAUCCUGACUCUGAAAUCUCCACUUAUCCAGUUAUUAUUUAUUCAGCCAUCAACUCAAGAUGUCUCGUUGGGCGGCUGCAUUUGGAACACGAAAGGCGGAUGAACGUUAUUCCUUUCAUUCGGGUUUGGGCGUGGCACAUUGGGUCCCCAGUUAUUGACGUCUGGUACAUCCAUUUGAGUGCCGUCGAACUUUCUCAACGUUUUGCUGCAGCCAACUGGUGAAAAGUGAGUUUUGUUCCAAAUGAAAUUUUUAACCACUCAUCCAGGAAUCACUGCAGGAAAUAAGUAGAAGAAUCCAAUCGUACAGCAUUCAAAUUCAAAGCUCAAGUUCAAGGCGUUCUUGUGGUCAAUGGAGUUGGGUGCUGGUUACCGUUACUGGCCUUUUGCUUUUGCGACGUCUUGAUAUCAGUUUUGAAUAAUUGCUCUGGACUCUGGGGAAUCCUCACUCAUACUCGAGUGCAGACAGGUUGGCCAGUUUGUCCAGACAGGAUGUCGUUCACGCUUGAAGGUCACGAGAAACAUUACGUAAAACUGGCAUGCAGUGGUGUAGAGGUUGGGUGAGAAUGACACGUGUUGCUUCAUUAUCAAGCAGGUAAAAAAAGCCGCAAGGCUUGAGAGGAGGGGUGAGAAAAAAUUGUAUAAAAGGCGAGAGAAAAGUUGAUUGGGAUCAGUCGAGUGAGUGUCUCCGACAUGUCAACAGCUGCAUUCUUCGUCGUGAUAUCAGUUCGCAAUUAUGGGUAAAUAUUCAUUUUUAAUUUCGAGUCGUAAAUCUAUUCUAUCUUGUUUUGAGUUGUUGAUACGACUAGUUAUCUUCGAAAAAUAAUAUCCAAUUGUUUAUUUUAUUGCCUAGUUAAUUAUGGUGUUGUGUUGCUGUUGGGUGUUGUAUCGUUGAUG